UGUCUCGAGAGGUUAAUAUAUAACCUAGUUUGAGGUGAAUAUCACGUGAAUUGUUGCCUCUGUUUGAAGACAAACUGACAAGGUCAUGGCAAAAACCGAAUAACAACAAUAAUAUCAACAAAGGUAUUUAACAACAAUAACAACAAUAAUAUCAACAAAGGUCUUUAAAAGUUAAACACGGUAGUUAUGAAUAUUGAGCAACCAUCUCGAACCCUUAACCAAAAACUAGGGUGGUUUAAGGUAAUCCGGAGGGGUAAGCAGUCGAAAAUAAUUAAGUUUUUCAUUCAGAUCUAAAAGAUAAAUUAAUCUGCCAAAGCGUAUUACAUCUUUAAAUUGUGGUGAGUGACGUUCGUUGAUUAAAUUGGGAAAACACCAGAUAAAAACCAAUAUGUCUUAUGGUACAGUUCAUAAUCAUGUUAUAAGAUCAGAGUAUCAUUUAUGACUUGACAUAUAUAAUAUCCUACAUCUUCGGUUUCUUUUUGAGGUUCAGAACAGUUAUUUAUAGAUGAAAUAUUAUUACAGAAUAAAUAGUAGAAGUCAGACUGUUAUCUAUCAUCCAAAUUACAGUAUUAUAUAUCCCUCAGUUAUCCUUAAACAUUAGUCAUGCAAAUUUAAAAAAAAACUUUGUAUUUUAAGCCAAAGCGUUAUCGGUUCCUCCUUAGUUUGUGAACUUCGCUAUUUUCGCCUUCACCUAUUAUGUCUGUUUGUUUUGUUCACACAUUAUUAUCAAUAUAAUGAAAUCUGAUGCAACUGUCAUACAGCUGAUGGGUUUAGCCAGCUAAAAAUCAGGUUUAAUUCACCAUUUUCCACAUAAGAAAAAAGUCAGGAAUAUCACAGUUGUUGUCCAUUCGUGGGAGAUGUUUGAGCUUUUGAUAUUGCUUUUUGAGGGACUUUCCUUUUUGAAUUUUCCUCGGAGUUCAGUCUUGUUUCGUUUUUGUACUUUUAACCCAAAAAAAUCCAACAACAUAUAUUUGAUACUUAAAUGCAUUAUAUAGUUUUGAAUGUCUAAUGAUUGGUUAAGCUUUAGUUUAUAAACGAAAUCAAAUUAGCAGAAAUUGUUAAUUUUAAAAAC
rnacentral:lncRNA from 1 species